AGAGAGAGAGAGGGAGGACUGAGGAAGGAUUGUUUUUUUUUUUUUUUCAAAAGGGAUCCUGGUGACUUGAAAACAUAAGAAUAAACUAAAUGUUAUCUUAUUGUCUAUCUCCUUACCAAGAAGAGUAAAUCCUUGUUUGUUUUGUUCUUGUUUUUCUUCUGUUCUUUAUAUUCAAAGAUCAUUCUCCUUUGCUAAGAAAUUUGAAGAUUUGGAAACAGUGAGCAUCAGAUCUCCUACAAAUACUCCAAAAAGUUUCUAAAAGUCCAUCAAAAAGAACAAUGAUAUGCUCAGACAAAGAUUAUAAACUCCUCUACCCAGUUCAAAAUCCCACAAGAAUACUGCCUAAAUCCCAUGGAGGCUCUAAGACACAGGCCAGGCUAAGCUAAAAACAGUAUGCAAGUACUUCUGUACCACAAGAGUACCAAGACCAGAGCAAAGCCAGGUAACCAAAACCAAAACCAGUGCCUAUGAAUCUCAAGAACAAUGAGAGACAGAGGGUACACAUACCCUCAGGCAGCACACUGCUAAGAUAGCCACUUAAACCACAGCACAAAACAGGGAUAGUCCUAGAUCAAGGAAAACAAGUUCAAAGACAACUAAUAAAAGAGUCAAAAGGAGAACCAAAGAAGGAGAAAGACACAAAGCAGCAGAGCAUCUAAGGUCUGGCAAGAGGCUUCAGACCUAUGCAAACAACAUCUGUUUGGGGCCAGUCAGAGUCAUAGCAAAGGAAAGAUCCAAUUCCAGGUUCAACAUUAAAAGAUAAAGAUAUAAAGAAAAAGUUGAGACCUAGGAAGAUUUAUAUGAAUUGAUGCACUGAGGCAGUCCAAUACAUGCCAUAUAUGCUGAAAUACCAGUUCCAAUAUGUGUAUGCAUAUUCACACAGCCAUCCAGUUGCACAAGAAAAAUCAGAUCAAGAAGGAAGAAAAAGAAAAACUGAGAAAAAAGAAACAAAAUGCAAACAAACAAUAACAGAGAGCGUGAGAAUGAUAUGCUGUGUUCCACACUCUGAUCCCAGGAUUCUCUCUCUGGAUGUAAAUGAGCUGGUAAAAUAUUUUGCAAGUACUCCCUCUAUUAGACCAUGAAAGUUAACGUUUACCUUCCUUCUAAGGUAAUUCUGGCUCCUCUGACACUCCAUUUGGAACAAUAAAGCUUUGCUUCCAUAAUCUACCUCCCAAUGAUCCACAAUCAAAAUCUGGAAUCAAUUUUGACUUCUUCUCUUUCAUCUCUCAAACCAGUUACUAAGUCUUAUCAGUUCUUGCCAUAGCAGAGAGUUUUGAAGGAUGCAGUAUCUUUAGCAUGAAGAAAGCUAAAAGGAAGUGAUAGAAGUUUUUGACAAAAGAUUGAAGGACAAAGAAGUUGUUAAGAAUAUAAGGAUUCCACUGGAUAUAAUGGAAAGUGUUA